UUGUUGCUAAUAGUGGACGCAUGAGCAGUGAUGGACCACUGUUUUUAUCUUGUACUAGAAUAUGUUGAUAUAUCUUCACUAACCACCUGGCGCUUAGGAUGUAAAACCAUCUACAAAGGGGUGCGUUGUGUGAUCGGUCACCUGCGGUUUCGAGCCUCCACCAGCUCACUGAGCUGGUCCUGAGCUGCUCGGAGCUCCUCCAGACUCUGCUGGUAGCUGAGAUCCCCCGAGCCCGACCUCUCCAGGAGGGAAACCUGGUUGGACAGCUCGCUGGUUCGAUCCCGCAGCCGCUGGAUGGACAUGUACAGGUUCUCAUCAUCUUCCUCCUGGAGCCACAGUCAGAGGAACGGAGAACAGCAAGGCAAGUGGAAGUUAUUAUGAACCAGUGGUUUACCUUUGCAUUGACGAUCUCUAUAUGGACCAGAAGUGAUGCCAAUUCCAGCUCUUCACUGUAGCUGUUCUUCAGAGGGAUGCUCCUGUAGCCUGACAACACAUGGAUAAAGCAACACAUUGCAAAAUA